GUGGGUUCGACUGUGGAAGUUGCAGGGAAGCAAAGGCGAUGGGAGGCGAGAUGUUUGAACUAAUACUGUUGAAUGGCUGGUGACUCAAAUCAUGAAAGGUAAAAGAAGCGGCUCCGCUGCGUUCAACUGCUUCCAGAUGUGGAAUGCCAGAGAUAAUCUGUCGUUUUGGAUCUAAAUGAGAGCGGGUGUCUUGCAGAAGCUGAAGGUCCAGAUCUGACUCCCAGAUUGUAGACAUCCUACACAUACACAAGGGCAAACCUGACGUCGUCAUGGGAGCAGCAUAAUGUGCCCUGAGAGGACAGCAGUCCUAUAGAAAACAUCAUUCUCUAUCCCCGUGUUCAAGGGUAUGGCCUUUGUGAGCCAGUUGGGCCUAAUGGAGUUAUUGCAUUGCUCUGAUUUUCUCUGCAGUUGAAGAAUAAAAUGGCUCAA